GGUACCUUGGCCGAGUGGUUAGGCGCCGGUCUGCAAAACCGUAUACAGCAGUUCGAGUCUGCUAGGUACCU
rnacentral:tRNA from 1 species